rnacentral:rRNA from 1 species
GACGAACGCUGGCGGCGUGCUUAACACAUGCAAGUCGAACGAUGAAGCCUAGCUUGCUAGGUGGAUUAGUGGCGAACGGGUGAGUAAUACGUGAGUAACCUACCUUUAACUCUGGGAUAAGCCUGGGAAACUGGGUCUAAUACCGGAUACGACCAAUCUCCGCAUGGGGUGUUGGUGGAAAGCGUUAUGUAGUGGUUAUAGAUGGGCUCACGGCCUAUCAGCUUGUUGGUGAGGUAACGGCUCACCAAGGCGACGACGGGUAGCCGGCCUGAGAGGGUGACCGGCCACACUGGGACUGAGACACGGCCCAGACUCCUACGGGAGGCAGCAGUGGGGAAUAUUGCACAAUGGGCGCAAGCCUGAUGCAGCGACGCCGCGUGAGGGAUGACGGCCUUCGGGUUGUAAACCUCUGUUAGCAGGGAAGAAGAGAGAUUGACGGUACCUGCAGAGAAAGCGCCGGCUAACUACGUGCCAGCAGCCGCGGUAAUACGUAGGGCGCGAGCGUUGUCCGGAAUUAUUGGGCGUAAAGAGCUUGUAGGCGGUUUGUCUCGUCUGCUGUGAAAGGCCGGGGCUUAACUCCUUGUAUUGCAGUGGGUACGGGCAGACUAGAGUGCAGUAGGGGAGACUGGGAAUUCCUGGUGUAGCUGGUGAAUGCGCAGAUAUCAUGAGGACCCCGAUGGCGAAGGUGGUCUCUUGGGCUGUGACUGAUGCUGAUGAACGAAAUGCUUGUGGUAGCGAACAGUAUUAAGAUCCUCUGGUAAGUGCGAGGGUGAAUUCCAUAGUGGUAAUUUAGUUUUUCGAUGCCCUGUGACCUGGGGGGGGGAAAAAAAAACGAAAUUAUAUGUUCUCAUGUGUGUUGUUUAAUUGUGGUGUUACCAUAUUCAUGUGUAUGUGGUGAUGAUUGAAUAUGUGUACUUGUAUGCAUGCUGUGACUUGAAUGUUCGUGUUGUGAUGAUAGGUUUCUGUGUUGUGUGUGUGUUUUGUUAUGGUGUAUGUGUGUGGUGAUGUGUGCGCUUGUGG